UCGGAGUCAGGCUUAGUACUUUUGCGUUGAUAUCGGUUUGUCCUGUUUGGACUUGCUCUCCACUGACGACCUAGCGUGGUGGCAGUUAGUAUAGUUUCGACAGGCGGGACGAGUGUGUUCACAAGUCGCUAGUGAGAUUGGAUCAGGAUUGCAUUUUCUACAGAUAGUUAGUAUUGGAUCACGAUAGUAUAGUGGCAUAUAGCUGUAGAUUUGUUCCAGCUUUCCUUACUAUCCCUGUUUACUUUUGUAGACUUAGUGGGUGAGCCGUGAGCCGUUGAGGUCGGUAGCGGUACCCACUGAUGACUAUUUCUUUUACAGUAGUUCUCACACCCAGUUGUAAAUCCUUUUUGUAGAGCUCUCUUCUUCGGCUACUGCUGUCAUGGAGACUGAUCGUGGAAAGGGAGUCGCGAGUUAGAUUCCUUCCCAGUUGCUGCUGACCUAGAGAUUUAUACCAGCUACGUACAGGUAAUUAUAGUUUUUGGUUGUUAUACAUACUGAUGUUAGUAUCUCACCGGAACGAAUGUUUUUGUAUCAGGAUACUAUGUAUGUAUGUUGAACCGAUGUUUUAUAUCUGUAUGUUUUUUUAGCAGUUUUAUAUUAUUGGUUGUAGUAUUGUAUGAUUUCAGGUACAGGUAUAGCUAUCGUUUCGUAUAUAGAGAAAAUUUUUAUAUAUGCUGCUGAUCUGUUAGCAUGUUCGAAAAAAUAAGUAAUCCGAGACGUGACAGCCCGUUUGCUAUCGAUAGCAUUCCAGCUCAACUCUAAUUAAUACAUAAAAGACGAAAAGUAGGCAAGGU
rnacentral:lncRNA from 1 species